AAUGAACGCUGGCGGUAGGCCUAACACAUGCAAGUCGAACGGCAGCACAGAGGAGCUUGCUCCUUGGGUGGCGAGUGGCGGACGGGUGAGGAAUACAUCGGAAUCUACUCUGUCGUGGGGGAUAACGUAGGGAAACUUACGCUAAUACCGCAUCCGACCUACGGGUGAAAGCAGGGGACCUUCGGGCCUUGCGCGAUUGAAUGAGCCGAUGUCGGAUUAGCUAGUUGGCGGGGUAAAGGCCCACCAAGGCGACGAUCCGUAGCUGGUCUGAGAGGAUGAUCAGCCACACUGGAACUGAGACACGGUCCAGACUCCUACGGGAGGCAGCAGUGGGGAAUAUUGGACAAUGGGCGCAAGCCUGAUCCAGCCAUACCGCGUGGGUGAAGAAGGCCUUCGGGUUGUAAAGCCCUUUUGUUGGGAAAGAAAUCCAGCUGGCUAAUACCCGGUUGGGAUGACGGUACCCAAAGAAUAAGCACCGGCUAACUUCGUGCCAGCCGCCGCGGUAA
rnacentral:rRNA from 1 species